rnacentral:rRNA from 1 species
GACGAACGCUGGCGGCGUGCUUAACACAUGCAAGUCGAACGGAAAGGCCCUGCUUGCAGGGUACUCGAGUGGCGAACGGGUGAGUAACACGUGGGUGAUCUGCCCUGCACUUCGGGAUAAGCUUGGGAAACUGGGUCUAAUACCGGAUAGGAGCCAUCUUUAGUGUGGUGGUUGGAAACUUUUUUCGGUGUAGGAUGAGCUCGCGGCCUAUCAGCUUGUUGGUGGGGUAAUGGCCUACCAAGGCGGCGACGGGUAGCCGGCCUGAGAGGGUGUACGGCCACAUUGGGACUGAGAUACGGCCCAGACUCCUACGGGAGGCAGCAGUGGGGAAUAUUGCACAAUGGGCGCAAGCCUGAUGCAGCGACGCCGCGUGGGGGAUGAAGGCCUUCGGGUUGUAAACUCCUUUCGCUAGGGACGAAGCUUUUUUGUGACGGUACCUAGAUAAGAAGCACCGGCUAACUACGUG